AUAAGCCCACUUUGGUGAAAAAUCAAUUAUGCUGAAAAGUUGAUCUUGAGAAAGAGAGGGACUCAAUGAUUCUUCAUCAACCACAUUUCCACAUUCAACAGUACCCCAUGAAAGACCGGAGGAGGACCUCAUAUGCAAAUCAUCCACCUCUCCAAGCUCUUUAGUAAUCCACCGAGAAAAACUGUCCACUUUUUUCAACACCUCUUCCCCAUCUAAUAAUGGUGGUUUGACAAUGAAAGCAUAUUUACUAUUUUCUCCCACAGACAUAUUAUUCUCAGAUUUUGGGUGCGUUCCAAGAUGAGGUUCUGCAUUUGUAAGCUGCAUUUGAAGGUGGUUCUGCAAAUGCUCUUCAUUGUGCUGAACAGGACCCGAAAAAAAUUCCUCAAAUGCAUUUUGUAGAUCCACAUUAUGAGUUCUUUGCCCAAACAACCCAGGAUCCAAAUUAUAUGCCAAUUCCAAAUCCAGUGUUUGCUCAACAGGGCCCUCAGGCAAGUGCAAGGAACUGUUCUCAAAAGGAAUCUGCCAAUGCGAUUCCAUUAGCAAAGAAUCACCAUACUCAUCUUUGGCAGCAUUCCCACCAGAUAAAAUCUCACUGAGAACCUCAUAACUUCCAAGACUAGUAGGAUUAGAUUGAAUGGCAUUAACUGACAAAUUAGAUGGUGUACUUUUGUGUCCCAUUGUACAUUGUUCCAAGACCUCCUCCCAGGAUACCAAGCUUUGAGACUCAGCAAUGCAAGUUCCAUCAUUAGAUCCGGGUCCAUCUCCAUGAACAUAUGAAUUUGGACCUACUACAGGAACCGAUGACUGCCCUUCAUGAUUAUCUGAACCAUGAUGCAGAGAACUCAAUACACCAGCAUUUAUUUCGUCCAUCACAGGACUAUUCUGCAUUUGUGGUGACUCAAGAAAUGAGCGGCGUACAAAACUUGAUUGCUGACUGUCCGCUGAAUCAGCAUCUUCACAAAAUGAUGUAAGAGUACUAGUUGGGCUUGUUGAAUCCGUAUUUCCUGAAGGCUCUUUGUUAUGACUUGCAACUAAGCUAUUUGAAGGGCUGCUAUUUGUCCUGUUACCCUGACAAAAACUAUAUGCGUCAGUUCCUGUUCAAGCAUCCAAUAGCUGCGCCUUUGAAAGCUUUCAU
rnacentral:misc_RNA from 1 species